rnacentral:rRNA from 1 species
ACGGGAGGCAGCAGCUAAGAAUAUUCCGCAAUGGACGAAAGUCUGACGGAGCGACGCCGCGUGGAUGAUGAAGGCCGGAAGGUUGUAAAAUCCUUUUAAGUGUGAAGAAUAAGUAGAAGAAGAGAAUGCUUCUAUGGUGACGGUAGCACUUGAAUAAGCAACGGCUAAUUACGUGCCAGCAGCCGCGGUAACACGUAAGUUGCGAGCGUUGUUCGGAAUUAUUGGGCGUAAAGGGCAUGUAGGCGGUUUUGCAAGCUUGGUGUGAAAUCUCGGAGCUCAACUCCGAAAUUGCGUUGAGAACUGCAUGACUGGAGUCACUGAGGGGCAAUCAGAAUUCCUGGUGUAGGGGUGAAAUCUGUAGAUAUCAGGAAGAAUACCAAUGGCGAAGGCAGGUUACCAGCAGAUGACUGACGCUGAGGUGCGAAGGUGCGGGGAGCAAACAGGAUUAGAUACCCUGGUA